UCCGCCCGGGAACUACAAGCAUAAGCUUAAAACCCAAAGGACUUGGCGGUGCUUUAGCCCCACCUAGAGGAGCCUGUUCUAGAACCGAUAACCCUCGUUAACCCUCACCCCUUCUUGUUAUAUAACCGCCUAUAUACCGCCGUCGUCAGCUUCCCUUGUGAAAGAAUAAUAGUAGACAAAAACGGUUUAAACCCAAAACGUCAGGUCAAGGUGUAGCGAAUGAAGGGGAAAGAAAUGGGCUACAUUUCCUGAGUGCAGGAAAUUACGGAAUAUACUAUGAAAUAAGUAUAUAAAGGAGGAUUUAGCAGUAAAUGGAAAAUAAAGUGUUCC
rnacentral:rRNA from 1 species